UGGGGAAUAUUGGACAAUGGGCGAAAGCCUGAUCCAGCCAUGCCGCGUGGGUGAAGAAGGCCUUAGGGUUGUAAACCCCUUUCAGCGGGGAAGAUAAUGACGGUACCCGCAGAAGAAGCCCCGGCUAACUCCGUGCCAGCAGCCGCGGUAAUACGGAGGGGGCUAGCGUUGUUCGGAAUUACUGGGCGUAAAGCGCGCGUAGGCGGACUUUCAAGUCAGGGGUGAAAUCCCGAGGCUCAACCUCGGAACUGCCUCUGAUACUGUAAGUCUUGAGUCCGAGAGAGGUGAGUGGAAUUCCUAGUGUAGAGGUGAAAUUCGUAGAUAUUAGGAAGAACACCAGUGGCGAAGGCGGCUCACUGGCUCGGUACUGACGCUGAGGCGCGAAAGCGUGGGGAGCAAACAGG
rnacentral:rRNA from 1 species